CAGUGAAUAGUUCAGUGGUAGAAUUCUUGCCUUCAAUGUUAGAGACCUGGGUUCGAUUCCCAGCCAACUCA
rnacentral:tRNA from 1 species